rnacentral:rRNA from 1 species
CCUACGGGGCGCAGCAGUGAGGAAUAUUGGUCAAUGGCCGGAAGGCUGAACCAGCCAUGCCGCGUGAAGGUCAGUGCCCUAUGGGCGUUAAACUUCUUUUGUGCGGGAGCAAUAAUGGUCACGUGUGGCCAGACGAGAGUACCGUACGAAUAAGCAUCGGCUAACUCCGUGCCAGCAGCCGCGGUAAUACGGGGGAUGCAAGCGUUAUCCGGAUUUAUUGGGUUUAAAGGGUGCGUAGGCUGUGAGGUAAGUCAGCGGUGAAAUGCCCCCGCUCAACGGGGUGAAGUGCCAUUGAUACUGCCUGGCUGGAAUGCGGAUGCCGUGGGAGGAAUGUGUGGUGUAGCGGUGAAAUGCAUAGAUAUCACACAGAACACCGAUUGCGAAGACAUCUCACGAAUCCGCGAUUGACGCUGAUGCACGAAAGCGUGGGUAUCAAACAGGAUUAGAUACCCGAGUAGUC